CCGUGCGUGCGUGUAUGCAGGUACAAAAAAUGCUUAACUGCGAAGCAGCCAAGUUUAACACGUAAUUGUAAUUCAAAACCAGCGUAUGUUUUGGACUAGCUAUAGUGAACCUUCGGAGUAGUGAACCUUCGGAGUAGUGAACCUUCGGAGUAGUGAACCUUCGGACUAGUGAACCUUCGGACUAGUGGGAAGUCACCAUAGUAAGAAUGUUUCGACUAAUGUUGGCCAGACUUUCUUGAAGAUAAUUGACGAGGAAUUUCCCGCAGAUCACCCAUUACACAAAAUAUUCAACCGUAAUACAGUCAAGAUCAGCUACAGCUGUAUGCCAAACAUUAAACAGACUAUCGAUGGACACAACAAAUCCACGCUGUCUACAGCUUUCACCACGAAUAGUCCCGACAUGUGCAGUUGCCCUAAAAACAAUAAAGAACUGUGCCCACUGUCUAAUAAAUGUAUCACCGAAUCGGUUGUAUAUCAAGCUACAGUCACUACUAAGGACAAAACUACCAAUAGACCUCCCCAAACAUAUGUCGGCCUUACUGAAAACUCGUUCAAAACAAGACUUGCGAACCAUAAAGCAUCAUUUAGCUCUUUUGACGAACGGAACGCUACUGAACUUAGCAAAUAUGUGUGGAAAUUGAAAAAUCGAAAUAUCCUUUAUACAAUCAAAUGGAAACUAUUAAAACGAGCUAAGCCUUAUAACUGUGCUUCAAAUAGAUGUAAUAUGUGUUUAUGGGAGAAAUACUUUAUUAUUUGUCAGCCUAAAAUGGCCGCUUUAAACAAACGUAAUGAGUUAGUAUCAGC